rnacentral:rRNA from 1 species
CAGUCGCCACGGUAAUACGAAGGGUGCAAGCGUUAAUCGGAAUUACUGGGCGUAAAGCGCGCGUAGGUGGUUUGGUAAGAUGGAUGUGAAAUCCCCGGGCUCAACCUGGGAACUGCAUCCAUAACUGCCUGACUAGAGUACGGUAGAGGGUGGUGGAAUUUCCUGUGUAGCGGUGAAAUGCGUAGAUAUAGGAAGGAACACCAGUGGCGAAGGCGACCACCUGGACUGAUACUGACACUGAGGUGCGAAAGCGUGGGGAGCAAACAGGAUUAGAUACCCCCGUAGUCCCUGUCUCUUAUAC